rnacentral:rRNA from 1 species
CCUACGGGAGGCAGCAGUAGGGAAUCUUUCACAAUGGGCGAAAGCCUGAUGGAGCAACGCCGCGUGCAGGAUGAAGGCCUUCGGGUUGUAAACUGCUUUUAUAAGCGAGAAAUAUGAUGGUAACUUAUGAAUAAGGAUCGGCUAACUACGUGCCAGCAGCCGCGGUCAUACGUAGGAUCCGAGCAUUAUCCGGAGUGACUGGGUGUAAAGAGUUGCGUAGGUGGAAUAAUAAGUAGCGAGUGAAAUCUGGUGGCUCAACCAUUCAGACUAUUAGGUAAACUGUUAAGCUCGAGACCGUUAGAGGUAGCUGGAAUUUCUAGUGUAGGAGUGAAAUGCGUAGAUAUUAGGAGGAACACCAGUAGCGUAGGCAGGUUACUGGAACGGUUCUGACGCUAAGGCACGAAAGCGUAGGGAGCAAACGGGAUUAGAUACCCCUGUAGUC